UAAGCGGAGGAAAAGAAACCAACAGGGAUUGCCUUAGUAACGGCGAGUGAAGCGGCAAAAGCUCAAAUUUGAAAUCUGGCGCCUUCGGUGUCCGAGUUGUAAUUUGAAGAAGGUAACUUUGGAGUUGGCUCUUGUCUAUGUUCCUUGGAACAGGACGUCACAGAGGGUGAGAAUCCCGUGCGAUGAGAUGCCCAAUUCUAUGUAAAGUGCUUUCGAAGAGUCGAGUUGUUUGGGAAUGCAGCUCUAAGUGGGUGGUAAAUUCCAUCUAAAGCUAAAUAUUGGCGAGAGACCGAUAGCGAACAAGUACAGUGAUGGAAAGAUGAAAAGAACUUUGAAAAGAGAGUGAAAAAGUACGUGAAAUUGUUGAAAGGGAAGGGCUUGAGAUCAGACUUGGUAUUUUGCGAUCCUUUCCUUCUUGGUUGGGUUCUCCGCAGCUUACUGGGCCAGCAUCGGUUUGGAUGGUAGGAUAAUGAUUAAGGAAUGUGGCUCUACUUCGGUGGAGUGUUAUAGCCUUGGUUGAUACUGCCUGUCUAGACCGAGGACUGCGUCUUGACUAGAUGC
rnacentral:rRNA from 1 species